CAGGAGAUUUGGGUUUCUCCAGAAAACACGACGCCGAAAGCACGUUCUUAUCUGAAUUUACUUCUUAACACGUGACAAAAUCAUUCCCAGAAGACUUCGAAAAGCCAGCGGCCUCUCCAAACGGGUUAGUACUCGGCACUUGGAGCUGGGCUGAAGGCUCGGCGCCUUGUUGCCCUCGCCAGGGCGUAGAGGCCGCGCUUCCAGCCAGCGCGGAGCCUGCGAGCUCAGCCUGGAACGCGGGGAACCAACUCUCGAGGGUCCUCCAGCACCGGAGAGAAGGGAUUCCUGGGGCUCUCUCAUUUCACCAGUCUGAGCCCCCGAGGUCCACAGAUCUCCGCUGGAUGCACGCCCCCUUUCCAUCCCCGAGGGCCACCGAGAUCGAGAAGGAACUUCCCUCUGUAGAGCCAGAAGUCAUGGUCUGAUGAGGUUCUUGGGCCAUCAGAGGCUGAAAAUGAUACCAACUCCCCCUCAUGUCCUAUACAGAACCAAGCAUGAGCAAACGCGGUGGAUACAGACCAUUGUGUUAAAGCACUGGAAGCAGCCAAGACGUUGGAUACCAUGUGUCAGAUCCUCAAAAAGUUAUCCAGAUUGUACAGUGCACAGUGAUGCACUAGAAUGUCUGAGGGAAAAAUCAGACAGAGAAAACUCUGAGAAACUUGGGGGAGAUCAUGAACCUUUGGGCAACCCAAGUUAUCGUGGAAGACGUCUGUGUAUAUUUCUGAUUAACAAUGAAUGGUUCAUCACCACCACAGAAUAGCUCCAAUUCUACAUUUCCUGGAAGUCCAAACAUGUCACAAGGUAAAAGCAACUAAUAUAUUGAAUGUACCUCAAUUAAAUGUAUCACCAUUAAAACAAAAGGAAAGAGAUUCAUUUUCAAGGAAUUCCUCAUGUGGUUAUAGAGGCUGGCAGGGUGGGCUGGCCAGUGUUGACCUAGGAAGAGGUGAUGCUGAAGUUCACAUCUGAAGACUGUCAGGCUGGAGAAGUCCUUCUUGUUUCAUGACGGGGAGACACAGCUUUCAUUCUGUUCAGAUCUUCAACUGAUUGGAUAAGGGCCACCCAUGCUACGGAGUGCAAUCUGUUUUACCCAGAUUCUUCUGUUUUAGUGUUCAUCUCAUUUAAAAGCACCCUCCGGGAAACAUCCAGAAUGAUGUUUGGCCACAUAUCUGGAUUUCAUGGCCCAGUCAAGUGGACACAAGAUCACCCAUCACAUCCUCUGAUUAACUGAUGUUGGCUGUUGCUCCCCAAGAUCCAGGAGUGUUUGUGAAAAAUCUUGAGCUAAGUUUCUGAGUAGCUGCAGCCAUGUGAUGCUACGCAAUGCUGUGUCCACCUCUUGCCUUUCCUGUUUCUUAGCAACAACCUGGCCUCUCACUGUGGCAUUCCUGGUAAAUGUUAUUGUUCAGACGCUAAGUCUUGUCUGACUCUUUGUGACCCUGUGGACUGCAGCACACCAGGCUUCCCUGUUCUUCACUGUCUCCUGGAGAUUGCUCAAACUCAUGUCCAUUGAAUCAGUGAUGCCAUCUAACCAUCUCAUCCUCUGUCGUCCCCUUCUCCUCCUGCCCUCAAUCUUUGCCAGCUUAAGGGUCUUUUCCAGUGAGUUGGCUCUUUGCAUCAGGUGACCAAAGUAUUGGAGUUUCAGCUUCAGCAUCAGUCCUUCCAAUGCAUAUUCAAGACUGAUUUUCUUUAGGAUUGACUAGUUUGACCUCCUUGCAGUCCAAAGGGACUGUCAAGAGUUUUCUCCAGCACCAUAGUUCAAAAGCAUCAAUUCUUUGGUGCUCCUGGUAAAUACCCAUCGUUAUAGCUUGGACUUUUGAACUGGACAUCAGAUACACUUCUGAUAAGAGAAAUACAUGUGACCAGGAUACAGCUGUUUGAAGCCCAUAAAAUUAUCCAGUUGUUUGUAGGUGGGAGGAAGAUCCAGGAACUUGGUUUGAAUUUGGAGGGCCUGUGUGGACUGACUACACAGAUCUCUAAUUCUAUCAUCAUCCUAGAGUAAACCUAGCCUUUCAGUGUACUUUGGAACAAUGUUGAUCUCUGUAUUGAUCUUCUGAUCGAAUUAGGAGGCCAGGGGGCAUUUUUAAGGCCACCUGGUUGCCUUCUUUCCCAAUAAGGAUAUUGGAUGCCAAAAGCCAUGCAAAUUUGGGGAAAGCUAUUCUUAAGAGUGGGUUAAUACUUAAAAGAGAAUGAUGAGAACUAUGAAGUAGAAAUCUACCGUAAUUUUGGCUCAUUGUGAAUAGUUAAGUAUUUAAUGUCUGGUUAGUGUAGGGGUUUGGAACUUAAUAGCAUAUAUUUUAUUGAACAUUUGCUAUGUCCCUGGCAGUGGGCUAAGGUCCUUUAUCUGUAUUGUUUGAUUUAAUUCUCAAACUAACCAUGUCAGUUAGGGAGCACCACUUUUUACCUUAAUUUUAAAAAUAAGGAAACUGAUGUUUAAGGAGGCUGGAAACACAGAGACCCUGGAGUCAGAGUGCCUGGCCUGAGUCUCCCCUCUUUCUUAUGACCUCCACAGAUUACUCAGCCUCUUGGGACCUCAUCUCCUG
ensembl:lncRNA